GAUGAAGAACGUAGCGAAAUGCGAUAAGUAAUGUGAAUUGCAGAAUUCAGUGAAUCAUCGAAUCUUUGAACGCACAUUGCGCCCCCUGGCAUUCCGGGGGGCAUGCCUGUUCGAGCGUCAUUACAACCCUCAAGCUCUGCUUGGUAUUGGGCUCUGCUGGGACCGGCAGGCCUUAAAAUCAGUGGCGGCGCCACUCGGCUUCAAGCGUAGUAAUUCUUCUCGCUUCGGAGACCCGGGUGCGUGCUAGCAAGCAACCCCCAACUUUCUUAGGUUGACCUCGGAUCAGGUAGGGAUACCCGCUGAACUUAAGCAUAUCAAUAAGCGGAGGA
rnacentral:misc_RNA from 1 species